rnacentral:rRNA from 1 species
GAUGAACGCUGGCGGCGUGCCUAACACAUGCAAGUCGAACGAAGCGAUUUAACGGAAGUUUUCGGAUGGAAGUUGAAUUGACUGAGUGGCGGACGGGUGAGUAACGCGUGGGUAACCUGCCUUGUACUGGGGGACAACAGUUAGAAAUGACUGCUAAUACCGCAUAAGCGCACAGUAUCGCAUGAUACAGUGUGAAAAACUCCGGUGGUACAAGAUGGACCCGCGUCUGAUUAGCUAGUUGGUAAGGUAACGGCUUACCAAGGCGACGAUCAGUAGCCGACCUGAGAGGGUGACCGGCCACAUUGGGACUGAGACACGGCCCAAACUCCUACGGGAGGCAGCAGUGGGGAAUAUUGCACAAUGGGCGAAAGCCUGAUGCAGCGACGCCGCGUGAGUGAAGAAGUAUUUCGGUAUGUAAAGCUCUAUCAGCAGGGAAGAAAAUGACGGUACCUGACUAAGAAGCCCCGGCUAACUACGUGCCAGCAGCCGCGGUAAUACGUAGGGGGCAAGCGUUAUCCGGAUUUACUGGGUGUAAAGGGAGCGUAGACGGUAAAGCAAGUCUGAAGUGAAAGCCCGCGGCUCAACUGCGGGACUGCUUUGGAAACUGUUUAACUGGAGUGUCGGAGAGGUAAGUGGAAUUCCUAGUGUAGCGGUGAAAUGCGUAGAUAUUAGGAGGAACACCAGUGGCGA